rnacentral:lncRNA from 1 species
UAGACCUUGGACUAAUGAGCAAGUUCUGUUAAUGGUGAUUUCCCUGUUCUUAAUCAGAAUAUGGAGAAAGGGCUGACUGAAGGGGGAGAAUCAGUUAUCUGCUGAAGAUUCAGAAAAGCUAAAAUAUCUACCCUCGAUAUUUACCCUCCUUGCCGUGACCAACCUGGGAUCAGAUAAAGAUGAAGUGCUGGCAGGGGUAUUCAGAUUGGUGCAUCACUGAAAUAUCACCAGUACAAAAAUCUGCUACAGUGCGCUCCAUCCUUAUCCCCUCCUUUUUGCCCUGGAUAAACUUCACCCUAUCUGACUAGGCUCUGUGUAAUUGCGUGGAUCUUCUGGAGGGAGCCACAGCUGCACCUAGUAUUCAUAGUUAUCCUUGUUGCAAGAUCAAAAAUCCAGCCCCUUGAUCCUUUCACUGCCUAUAUAAAGAGCAAACCAUGGGGGAAAGGAGCAGGAGCAGAGGAGUAAUCCUUGUCUCAGUUCUUGAUCACCAUGUGUAGCUUCAGUUAGUUGUAUUGUGUUCCCUUCCUCCAAAAUCAUAACCUGGACACGCCCAAAUCCAUUAAUCAAGGCACUGAACACCUGCAGAUCCUCCACUUCACCGUGGCCAGGUAUGCUUAGAAAGUUUCUCACCCGUAUGGCUUGUGUUCCAUGCUCUGUAUUGAUCAGUGAAGCUGAUCAAGUGGUUUGUUCAAGCUUUACCACCAUACGUUGAGUAGAACAUGGUCGCGCCGUCGCAGUCGGGCGCCGAGGACAGCCUCGGUGUGAACUAUAUCAACCACGCCAGUUCCCGAGCGAUUGCAUGCGCGCACCGUAGACUCGAGAGGUCUCUAAAGCUCCCUGGCCCGUUUGUUUGAACACUACCGUGCGGUGAUCGGGGAAUUAAGUUCGUCAAAUCCAGUGCUCUGCCGUCGCUGUCGAUAGAUGGGUUGUGGAGUUCUCACGGAUCGAUUGAGCCCAUACCCGAGUUCACUGCGAUUCGGGGUUCACGUGGGUACCAUCGCCGUCGCCGGUGUUGCGCCACCAUGGCCGAGCUGGCACUGGGUCACCGGAGUCCGAGCGGGCAGUGUCGGGGCCGAGUGCUUGUAAAAGAGUGGUAGCCGAGGGGUUUUAGCGAAGAUGUCAGAGACACAAGCAACAGUGGCUGGGAGCUCGGAUUAUUUUAACCAGAGCGCAAGGUCCUUUGUGCAAGAUGGCCAAAGCGGGCGCGGGCUCCUGGGUUUGGGCCAGCUUUGCCUGGUUGUUGGGUCGCGCCAGCAAUUUGGGGCCCAACACUGUUGACAGCCUUGUCUUUUCUUUUAUCAAGAGCUUAUAAAUUAUGUUAGAAAUCACAGAAAAAUUCCAAAAAUAGUUAUUAAAUCCUUACUUAAUUAUGGAACUAAGUGCUUUUGGGGCAGAGGCAUGUUGAUCUAGUGAGAUCUUGACCCUUGGAUGAAGUUACUUAUGGAGUUUUAAGCUUUUGCUUGAGACCUUGGUUGGGGUAAUUCCCUGGUUUACCCAAGUGAUUUCAUUUUGGUCACUUUAAUCGAGCGAUAAGAAAUAGGUGUAUUCUUGUCAUGUGCUUUAGUUGUAGUGUUUCUGUUCUCCACCUCUCCUUGUGAUAGUUUGCAUUACAUGGCAUUCAUUCUUAUAUAUAUACCUAUAUGGUUAUAUUUAGAAAACGGAGAAGAGGGUGAAGUGACUGAAGAAAAGACAUCACCACCUUUGGAAUCUCAGGCAGAGACUUGGCUCUACUUCGACAUCUGCGAGUCCGAGCCUGACUCACCUACUAACAAAGGCAAGCCCCGGUGCAUGCAACCUCUUUCCUUGUGUUUUUAAAUACUUUUCGCACACUUAAGUCUAGUGAAAUGUACAUUAGGUUCAUAGGAGUUACUUGAAACCCUUUGAUGCAUUGCUUUUCCUUGAUAUCCAUACCUUUAUAGAUACUUCUGUGAAGUAUCAAAAUUAUGAUUUACAAAAAUGCUUAGCCUUGCUUAGAUCUUGUGGAUAGAGGUUGUCCUCAAUUUAACCCGGGAGAGGAUGGCUUCUACCUGCAAGUAUAUUUUCAUUUGGAGCAAUAGUGGGAUCUUACUGCAAAGUUCCCUGUGAUGCUCUUUCAUCCUAAGGAACAGACACAAUCCUAAGGAUGGAAAUACUUAAAUUGAGACUUGGGUUAGGAACCGGUGAUGUUCUACCCAGGUUGGUUAAGGAUUAACGCGUAUGUAGGCGUGCUGACCGAGGACCCUUUAACUGGUCACAUGCCUCGUCAUGGGUAAGCCUUGCCUCGGGCAGACUAAGGCCGGAAUAAGAUAACACGAAAUGGGCGUGGAGCGGUGGCGAGAGUAGCGUGUACCCUCCGUGGCAAGAGGCUGGACGGUGGUGUAUCUGUGCUCUCGGUUUGCGUGAACCUGAUCCGGUCUUAAGAACCCCGGUGGCGGGUUGACAUAUGCAAGGGUUAAGUGCUACAUAUGUCGUGUGAUUGGAGAUCCUCAGCUGAGUAUAAUCGAUUCGGAUCGCCGUACCUUCGCGGUUAUGAAGACUUGGUCACUUCCCUGCAACCUAAAGUCAGGAUGUGAACACUAUGGAUAAAAAUGAUGUUGUCUUGAUGUGAUGUGAAAUUAGACUAGAUGCAAAUAGAGUCUAUUAAUACUUAAUAUGGCGUUAAAAGAUUGAAAGUAAGGACUCACUUUAGUAAGCUAUUUCUGCAAAAGUAUAAGUUGAUUUUUGCUAAAGCCUCUCCUUGACUCCUAUUUAUCCAGCAUACCCUUGAGAGUCUUUUCCUUAGUCGGGUAAGACUUGCUGAGUAUUCCAUACUCAGGGUUUAUCCCUUUGUUGUUUUUAGGUGAGGAAGCGACAAAUUUUUGUUGCUUUUGCUCCAAGGUGGUACCAAAUGAGGAAAAACAAGACUGAAGUGCGGGAGGACUCGGUCCUCCACUUAGGAUCUUUUGCUUAAGAACUUAUCGGGAGGAGUUUGUGCCUCCCCUGGUUUGUAUAAUGUUACUACUCUGCACUCACUUUUAGUCUGGUCUGUAAUAAAAUAACUCAAGCUUGCUUUUGAAAUAAAUGUAAGUUAUGUAAUUCGCUUCCGCA